GUCCACGCCCUAAACGAUGCCAACUAGGUGUUGGGGAAGGAGACUUCCUUAGUACCGUAGCUAACGCGUGAAGUUGGCCGCCUGGGGAGUACGGUCGCAAGAUUAAAACUCAAAGGAAUUGACGGGGACCAGCACAAGCGGUGGAUGAUGUGGAUUAAUUCGAUGCAACGCGAAAACCUUACCUACCCUUGACAUGCCAGGAACUUUCCAGAGAUGGAUUGGUGCCCGAAAGGGAACCUGGACACAGGUGCUGCAUGGCUGUCGU
rnacentral:rRNA from 1 species